AUGGCCAGAAGGUACUUAGAGAAGAGUGUGCAUCAGUAUGAAGUCUUGUCCUACUCUUCUAACGAAGGAUCAGGUACAAGAAGCAGCAAAGUACAUUAAAGGCCGACAAGUACAGUAGUAGUUACAUUACCAAUACGAAUUAAUCUUUGACUUGAAACUCUGAAUCUUUUCUAAAGAUGAAUCGACGGUAUUGCAAUUUAUCUCUGCCUUUUUCCAAUGGAUGCAUGUCCAUCCCCUGUUUCUCAAUUGUGUGUUUCCUUACUUAGUCAAGAAACAUCUUAAUUUGAUGGCAGGUAUGCUGAAGAAUAUUUGAAUAUAUAAAUGCUUCCUUCUUUUGAAUAACCCGGUUCCCUUUUGCUAGAUCAAGAAACAUCUUAAUUUCUCAGCCUCCAUGGACACGGCCGAGAUCCUUGACCAUUGCUCAUCGGGACAUGUGCCAUCUAGCAACAAAAAACAGUGUUUAGCUGUUCAGGUAAACCAGAAAAUCAUGUAAUUGCAUCACACAGUAGACUGUGAAUCCCAGGCAGAAUGAUCUUUGAUGUUAUGAUGGACCCACGUGAUGUACUGCUACUAAGUGAAUUUUCGGUCAGAGUAGCUCUAAUAUCAUGCAGCUCCGGUCAGAGUUUUCCGGUGCAGUACUUGCUAGGGAAUACUUACCUUGCCAUUUGGUGUGAUUAUGUGCUCUUAUGGGGCUGGUUUUGUACCGAGCCAUUACUAUUAUAUGUGUUUUGCUUCCUCCUGCUUUCCUUUCA
rnacentral:lncRNA from 1 species